GGUCUCUUAGCUCAGUUGGUAGUGCACCUAGUCCUGUAUUUUGCCCGAAUGCACGCGGUCGCGGGUUCGAUCCCGUCAGGAAACA